UACGUAGGGCGCAAACGUUGCUCGGAAUCAUUGGGCGUAAAGCGCACGUAGGCGGCCUGUUAAGUCGGAUGUGAAAGCCCCGGGCUCAACCCGGGAAGUGCAUUCGAAACUGGCGGGCUUGAAUAUGGAAGAGGGUCGCGGAAUUCCCGGUGUAGAGGUGAAAUUCGUAGAUAUCGGGAGGAACACCAGUGGCGAAGGCGGCGACCUGGGCCAAUAUUGACGCUGAGGUGCGAAAGCGUGGGGAGCAAACAGG
rnacentral:rRNA from 1 species